GGGCGUCGAGGAGGGACUCUAGUGACAUAAGGGCGACCUGUCUAAUAGUUGUUUCGAUAUGGGCUAGAUUUUGUAAAAAUAGAAGGGCAUUGCUGACAUUCGGCCUACUAGCAAGAUAUGUUCCUGCCCAAUAAACCUGAAGAAUACAAGAAAAAGGGAAGAAUUGAAGAAUGGUCCUCGGCCGGUUUUCAGUGAGCACAGCCCCAAAGAAGACAAGUACCAUAUGCAUAUGGUACUUGGAACAUGCAGUACGAUUAAAAAUGCAGCCAUAGAUUUCACCUAGCGAUAUAUGUAGAAAGAAAGAAAGGCGGGUGUCGAUGUUGCCAAUCCCAGAAGCUUGGAAAGCAGAAAUGAUGGUUUGUCUAUGCAGCAAAGCAACUCUCUCAGUACAGUCCCGUAACGCUGGGUGCGGUGCGUCUUUCGUUCCUUGUUUCAGCUUGCUUCGGCGAUGUCAGCCCAGGCCCUGCUGCUUUUGAUUAGCCUGAUCGAGCUGUGCGAUUUCGAGUCCCCAAAUUAAACAAGUGCCACCAAAAGGCCGCACAAUCGGUAACGGAAGGGAAGGUCUGACCAUGUACGCUGUCCUUUCUGCGCUCAUUAAGGUAUGUAUUUCUUUUAUUACCUUUAUAUAUACGGCAUGUCCUCCCUUCCUUAAUUUGCAACGGCUUCUGACUACUGAAGCUCUGAACGGAAGUGAGCACAUGGCAAUAUCGUCGAUCCCAUGGAGCAUGCCGAUCGAGAUCGAAGCCUAUGGAGAGUAUCCAGUGCUAUAAACAUCAAAUUUCAAAGUGUGUCAAAAUUCCAUAUUUGUGUGUGGAUGUUCACUCCAGAUGUUUAUACAAUCCUCAACAUUUUCAAAUCCAAAUUCAAUCUAUACUAGAAGAGUUGGACGCACUUUCCUGCGUCAUUGGUGUUAUUGAAUUUUCAUAAUGUCUUUGCUCCCUCCAUUUCAAAAUAUUAAACGCAGUAGUUUUUUAAAAAGUCAAAUCUUUUUAAGUUUGAUUACAUUUAUAGAGAAGUAUAUCAGUAUCAAUA
rnacentral:lncRNA from 1 species